rnacentral:rRNA from 1 species
GAUGAACGCUGGCGGCGUGCCUAAUACAUGCAAGUCGAGCGAACAGACGAGGAGCUUGCUCCUCUGACGUUAGCGGCGGACGGGUGAGUAGCACGUGGAUAACCUACCUAUAAGACUGGGAUAACUUCGGGAAACCGGAGCUAAUACCGGAUAAUAUAUUGAACCGCAUGGUUCAAUAGUGAAAGACGGUUUUGCUGUCACUUAUAGAUGGAUCCGCGCCGCAUUAGCUAGUUGGUAAGGUAACGGCUUACCAAGACAACGAUGCGUAGCCGACCUGAGAGGGUGAUCGGCCACACUGGAACUGAGACACGGUCCGGACUCCUACGGGAGGCAGCAGUAGGGAAUCUUCCGCAAUGGGCGAAAGCCUGACGGAGCAACGCCGCGUGAGUGAUGAAGGUCUUCGGAUCGUAAAACUCUGUUAUUAGGGAAGAACAAAUGUGUAAGUAACUAUGCACGUCUUGACGGUACCUAAUCAGAAAGCCACGGCUAACUACGUG